rnacentral:rRNA from 1 species
AUUGAACGCUGGCGAAAUGCUUUACACAUGCAAGUCGAACGGCAGCACGGGAGCUUGCUCCUGGUGGCGAGUGGCGAACGGGUGAGUAACAUAUCGGAACGUACCCAGUCGUGGGGGAUAACUAUCCGAAAGGAUAGCUAAUACCGCAUACGUCCUGAGGGAGAAAGCGGGGGAUCGCAAGACCUCGCGCGAUUGGAGCGGCCGAUAUCGGAUUAGCUAGUUGGUGGGGUAAAGGCUCACCAAGGCGACGAUCCGUAGCGGGUCUGAGAGGACGACCCGCCACACUGGAACUGAGACACGGUCCAGACUCCUACGGGAGGCAGCAGUGGGGAAUUUUGGACAAUGGGGGCAACCCUGAUCCAGCCAUUCCGCGUGAGUGAAGAAGGCCUUCGGGUUGUAAAGCUCUUUCAGCAGGAACGAAACGGUCGGCUUUAAUAAAGUCGGCUAAUGACGGUACCUGCAGAAGAAGCACCGGCUAACUACGUG